CACGGUGGCCGGGGUUGAUGACGUAUAUGCUGGCGGCAGAUAGGUGACCAGAGGUCAAGGCCUAUAAAUCUGACUUCCCUUCCUGAAGCGGGUUUGCGAACAUACCUGUUGGAUAACUGUGAAUUCUUAAUCUGUUUAGCCUUUACCGGGACUAACUACUGUGUCCCCUCAGCCUUGCGACCCCGGGGUCGCCACUGUCUCACGUUGUCCAGAGCAGCCAGGGACUCCCCAUAUAUCUGUGGCUGACUUGAAUUCCUGAUCCUCUUGUCUCUACCUCCCGAGUGCUGGGAUUUCAGGUCUCUGGCGUCUCUGCAGCACCCACCCUGGAGCCAUGGUCCAUGCCUUCCUCAUCCACACCUUGAGGGCCCCGAAUUCGGAAGAUACAGGCCUUUGCCGAGUGCUCUACUCCUGUGUCUUUGGUGCUGAGAAGUCACCCGAUGAUCCACGGCCACGUGGUGCAGAAAGGGACAGGCUCUUGCGCAAGGAACAGAUUUUGGCCGUGGCCAGGCAGGUGGAGUCACUGUGCCGGCUGCAGCAGCAAGCAUCUGGAUGUCCCUCCACAGACCCACAGCCUCAGUUCUCAGAUGAGCCUGUGUCUCUGCAUGAGGCUCCCCAUGGAGCCUUCUACCUGGGAGCCGGGGACCCUUUCCAGGAGCCACAGACAGUGGUGUGGCUGGGUGUGCUCUCACUAGGCUUUGCCCUGGUGCUGGAUACCCAUGAGAACUUGCUGCUGGCUGAGAGUACACUUCGGCUGUUGGUCCGCCUCCUUCUUGACCACCUCCGGCUGCUGACCCCAGGUAGCAACUUCUUGUUGAGGGCUGACCGCAUUGAGGGAAUCCUCGCCCGCUUCCUGCCACAUGGGCAGCUGCUUUUCCUCAAUGACCAGUUUGUCCAGGACCUGGAGAAGGAAUUCAGUGCUGCUUGGCCCCGCUGACCACCCACCAGAAUGAGGCUUCUUGAAAGGACAGAGAGGGAGGGUAAAGAUUACAUACUUCAAGGAGAAGUUUGGCAUCUCCCUCUUGCCCAGGCUGCUCCCUAGUUUGAUAAUGUGACUGCACUCAGGACAAAUGGAUUGGACAAGCUGGCAGGAAGGGGCCUGGGGAGAAGGCACAGGAAGCUAGCUGGGCCUUUUCCCAAUUCAGUGGAAUUGCAGAACAUCCUGAACCUGUAGCUGCCAUGUGACACUCUGUGAUGUUCACCAUGCUAGCCCUUGACUUCCAGCCCUCCCAGCUGCCUGUACUGGAGCCAUGUAAUGCCUGCCAAGACUUUAGUUCACUUUCUCUAUAACCCCAGCACAAAAGGAGUCUCUGAGACCCUGGCAAAUCCUGGCCCCUCCCUUUGCACAUCAUCAAGGAUAUUUUCAACAAGGUCUGUUCUGCAUCCGGCCCCACCACAGUUCAGAGCAGGGGGAUUCUGAGGCUCCGUGUGUGCCGAGCCCAUGUCUGCCGGGCAAGCCGAGUGCACAGCUGCUUUUCUUGUCUGCUGGCCAGCAAGUGCCAGGCGUCUGGCCCAGACAAGAAAGCCCAAAUGUCAGUGGGGUGACGCACACCUUUAAUCCUAGUACUUGGGAGGCAAAGGCAAGUGGAUUUCUGAGUUCAAGGCCAGCCUGGUCUAUAUGCAAGUUCUAAAACAACAGACCUACAGAGAGAAACCUGUUUCAAAAAAAGGAAAGAAAGGAAGCAAAGAAAACCCAAAGACUCAAGGUUUGCAGCUGGGUCUGUGGGGGAGGAGGGAUAUGGGUGCUGUAGGCGGUCCUUAGAGAUUUCCGUACUUUUCCACCCCAUGCUUUAUCACACCAGACAAUGUGGCCUGGCAUCACCCCUUGAGAGGGUGGAGGGUUUCUGUCCUUAGUGUGUCUGGGCUGGGCUAGCUUCCUUACUUGCAUCGGCCCGGUACAAUGUGGCAGAAAUGACACUGCCAGUUUAGAGUCAAGGUCUCAUGGGCAUUUUGCUUUCUGCCAUGAAAAACGUGUGGUUCAGGCUGAUGAAGGGUAAGAAGCUACGUAAAGUGAAAAGAACCAUCCCUGGGCUGGUGAGAUGACUCAGUGGGUAAGACUGCACAAACCCUGGGACCUACUAGCUUCAAUCUCUUUAACCCAUGUAAAGAUGAAAGGAGAAAACUGACUGAACCUACAGUUUCCUUUGACUCUCUCUCCUCUCUCUCUCUCUCUCUGGCAUGUGCACCCCUCCCACAACAAUAAAUGACUAUUGCAGUUAAAGAGAAUCAUCCCAGCUGAGUCCAUCUGAGACUAUCAGCUCCUAACAGAAGAGAUGACUGACUGAAAAGAGGAUUGAUAUCGCUGUCAGCACAGAUGCCCAAGACCAGAUUCUCAGCACAAAGGAGAUUUAUUUGUUCCAGACGGACAGAGGGCAGGGAAUAAGAGACCAACAUGGGAGAUCGAGAACGAGGGAGAAGGGGAAAGGAAUGAGAGAGGGAGGAAUAUUUGCCCCCGAAGGGACUAAGGACUUCCUCUGGAUAGAGAGGAGACAGGUGUGGCCGGUAGGCAAAUGGUAAAAGGGGAAACCCUGUGUUAGGAUGAGUUGGUUCAUUUUAAUUGGGUGUGUUAAUUAGGUGAGCCAAAAGGGGGCUUUUGAUUGCUGGACUUCAAUACUUUGGUAGCUGGACAUUGGUAGGAAGAGGAAGUGGCCAAAUAAGGGAAUAGACCGUGGUGAAUAGUUUUGAGAAUGUAAUCUAAUAGUUCUUAGCAAGGCAGAGGAAAUGGGGGACAGACAAAGCCCGAUAGCCAUGUUUGCCAUGCUUGAGCCUGCUAGAGUCCUUCAGGUAUAAGUGAGCCCAAGCAUUGUGUAGCAGUCUCCUCUUAGAUAAAACAGUCAGUGUUAUACAGAAGCUUGUUAAGGCUGGAGAUGUUGGGUCUGGAAAGAUGACUCAGAGGUUAGGAGCCCUGGCUGUUCUUUAGAGGACCCAGGUUCAAUUCCCAGAACCCACAUGGCAGUUCACAGCUGGCCAUAAUUCCAGUUCCAGAAGAUCCAACACCCCUUUUGGCCUCUUCAGGCACCAGGCAGGCACACAGCUCACAGACAUAUAUACAAGCAAGACACUCAUUAAAAAAAAAUUUAAAAGACACAAGAUAUACGAAGACGAGAUGAAGAUGCUCCAUCCUGAAGAGAUGCUGUCAAGUAAACAACUCGAACGAAGUCUUCAGGAAGUCCCCGAAACUGACCAGACUCACUGGGCCCUUUCCUCCCCAAGCAUAUAUAAGCAGUAAGCACUGCUUAUUAACACAGCUGCCCAGAAGAGGUUCAGACCUCAUAAGCUGCCUGGAAGAGAGUCUCCAGCCUGCUGAGCUGCCUGCACAGUGUGCAGCGUGCUCUGUUUCCCCAAUUCUCCUGAGCUGUCACUCAUGCUGGGAGCUCUUUGGUGAUGCAGCUGCCUCUGAGUUCCUUCUUGUAAGUAACCUCAAUAAAACAUACUGGUUUACCACGUUGAA